CUUUUGUGGACUUGCAACCAGAGAUUGCAAUAAAACAGGUUUGUUUAACUAGGUUGCCCACGGUGAGUAAGUGAAAAGACGACCCCUCCACCACCACCGCCACCGCCACCGCCGCCAUUCCUUUUCGGGGAGUUUUCCAAGCCUCUCUGGAACGUGGAGAAAAUCUGUGGAAAUAUGUAAGGCAGGACCAGAUUGACCCUCUCCAUGGAGGUGCCAGCCUAAGCAAGACUACGUUAGGGGACAAUUAUUUGUAAGGGAUCAUUCAAGGAAGGAGUUUUGCUGGAGGAGGUAAGAUAACAUGAAACCUUUA
rnacentral:lncRNA from 1 species